rnacentral:rRNA from 1 species
GAUGAACGCUGGCGGCGUGCCUAAUACAUGCAAGUCGAGCGAACAGACGAGGAGCUUGCUCCUCUGACGUUAGCGGCGGACGGGUGAGUAACACGUGGAUAACCUACCUAUAAGACUGGGAUAACUUCGGGAAACCGGAGCUAAUACCGGAUAAUAUAUUGAACCGCAUGGUUCAAUGGUGAAAGACGGUUUUGCUGUCACUUAUAGAUGGAUCCGCGCCGCAUUAGCUAGUUGGUAAGGUAACGGCUUACCAAGGCAACGAUGCGUAGCCGACCUGAGAGGGUGAUCGGCCACACUGGAACUGAGGCACGGUCCAGACUCCUACGGGAGGCAGCAGUAGGGAAUCUUCCGCAAUGGGCGAAAGCCUGACGGAGCAACGCCGCGUGAGUGAUGAAGGUCUUCGGAUCGUAAAACUCUGUUAUUAGGGAAGAACAAAUGUGUAAGUAACUAUGCACGUCUUGACGGUACCUAAUCAGAAAGCCACGGCUAACUACGUG